AGAGUUUGAUCAUGGCUCAGAUUGAACGCUGGCGGCAUGCCUUACACAUGCAAGUCGAACGGUAACAGGUCUUCGGAUGCUGACGAGUGGCGAACGGGUGAGUAAUACAUCGGAACGUGCCCGAUCGUGGGGGAUAACGGAGCGAAAGCUUUGCUAAUACCGCAUACGCCCUGAGGGGGAAAGUGGGGGACCGCAAGGCCUCACGUUAUUGGAGCGGCCGAUGGCUGAUUAGCUAGUUGGUAGGGUAAAGGCCUACCAAGGCGACGAUCAGUAGCUGGUCUGAGAGGAUGAUCCGCCACACUGGGACUGAGACACGGCCCAGACUCCUACGGGAGGCAGCAGUGGGGAAUAUUGGACAAUGGGCGAAAGCCUGAUCCAGCCAUGCCGCGUGUGUGAAGAAGGCCUUUUGGUUGUAAAGCACUUUAAGCGAGGAGGAGGCUACCGAGAUUAAUACUCUUGGAUAGUGGACGUUACUCGCAGAAUAAGCACCGGCUAACUCUGUGCCAGCAGCCGCGGUAAUACAGAGGGUGCGAGCGUUAAUCGGAUUUACUGGGCGUAAAGCGUGCGUAGGCGGCUUUUUAAGUCGGAUGUGAAAUCCCUGAGCUUAACUUAGGAAUUGCAUUCGAUACUGGGAAGCUAGAGUAUGGGAGAGGAUGGUAGAAUUCCAGGUGUAGCGGUGAAAUGCGUAGAGAUCUGGAGGAAUACCGAUGG
rnacentral:rRNA from 1 species